CCUACGGGCGGCAGCAGUGAGGAAUAUUGGUCAAUGGACGAGAGUCUGAACCAGCCAAGUAGCGUGAAGGAUGACUGCCCUAUGGGUUGUAAACUUCUUUUAUAUGGGAAUAAAAUGUUCCACGUGUGGGAUUUUGUAUGUACCAUAUGAAUAAGGAUCGGCUAACUCCGUGCCAGCAGCCGCGGUAAUACGGAGGAUCCGAGCGUUAUCCGGAUUUAUUGGGUUUAAAGGGAGCGUAGGUGGAUUGUUAAGUCAGUUGUGAAAGUUUGCGGCUCAACCGUAAAAUUGCAGUUGAAACUGGCAGUCUUGAGUACAGUAAAGGUGGGCGGAAUUCGUGGUGUAGCGGUGAAAUGCUUAGAUAUCACGAAGAACUCCGAUUGCGAAGGCAGUUCACUGGACUGCAACUGACACUGAGGCUCGAAAGUGUGGGUAUCAAACAGGAUUAGAUACCCUUGUAGUC
rnacentral:rRNA from 1 species